CAGCAGCCACGGGAAUACGGAGGGAGCUAGCGUUGUUCGGAAUUACUGGGCGUAAAGCGCACGUAGGCGGCUUGGUAAGUUAGAGGUGAAAGCCCGGAGCUCAACUCCGGAAUUGCCUUUAAGACUGCCGAGCUAGCAGGUGAGAGAGGUAAGUGGAAUUCCGAGUGUAGAGGUGAAAUUCGUAGAUAUUCGGAAGAACACCAGUGGCGAAGGCGGCUUACUGGCUCAUACUGGACGCUGAGGUGCGAAAGCGUGGGGAGCAAACAGGAUUAGAUACCCGCGUAGUCCCUGUCUCUUAUAC
rnacentral:rRNA from 1 species